rnacentral:lncRNA from 1 species
UAACCUAAUCGUUACACCUGUACAAGAGUACCUGAUCCCUAAAUGGACCUACUCCUAAAAAAACCUUACCGAUCCGCCGUUUUCUCAAAAGAUCAAAGAACAAAAAAGCCAAAAAAAACAAAAAUACAAAAGACACCUAAAAAAUAGCCUAACGCCUAGCAGCGAGAGUGCCGACUCGAGGUCUGUUGUUGAAUUUGGUCGCGGUUCUGGGAAGCUUCGAGGUCUGGAUCGUAGUUCUGUUAGAGGUUUCCGAUCGAGAGUCUGUCUUGUUCGUUAGCUGCUUUUCAAACUUCUAUGAGUUCCCUCUGUCAUGCUAAAGAUGCUUUUUUAUAUUAAUGAAGGUCCAGUUGCUCCUUCUUCAUUAUUUUAUUCUCCGUAUAAUUUUCUUUCUAUGAGUUUUUUUUUUUUUUGGUUGAAAGCAUGUUAGUUAUACUAGUAUUUUCGGAUCAUCUGAACUCUUGAAGAUCAUAACUGAACCAAGUGAUAUGAUCCUCAAUUUGUUGUCGCUUUUCAUUUUUUUGGUUCUGUGUCCGUCCCUUCGGCGUUCUCUGUCAAAGAAGGGAACAGGAGAGGGGUCUCGUGGUUGAAAACAUGGGACAUGGAGCCUUCCAGGAUCUGUUUGUUUUUUUUAAAUACCCCAUUGUCCAAUAUGCUUUAAUGUUUAUGAAUAAAUUCCAAAAGCAUUGGACUAAAUCAUUGUUACCUUUAUCCCAUAUGCUUUAAUGUUUAAGAUCUUAAUGUGUUUAAUCUAGUUUUAAUUCACAAGGAGUGAGCUACCAAAGUGAUUGAGAAAUGAAUGUUGGGAACGGAUUUGAUCUAAUUUU